UCCUUCACAGUUCAAGGUAAGCCU
rnacentral:siRNA from 1 species